GACUUAAGCAUAUCAAUAAGCGGAGGAAAAGAAACCAACAGGGAUUGCCUCAGUAACGGCGAGUGAAGCGGCAACAGCUCAAAUUUGAAAUCUGGCCCUAGCGGUCCGAAUUGUAAUUUGUAGAGGAUGCUUUUGGUGCGGUGCCUUCCGAGUUCCCUGGAACGGGACGCCAGAGAGGGUGAGAGCCCCGUACGGUUGGACACCUACCCUAUAUAUAGCUCCUUCGACGAGUCGAGUAGUUUGGGAAUGCUGCUCUAAAUGGGAGGUAAAUUUCUUCUAAAGCUAAAUACCGGCCAGAGACCGAUAGCGCACAAGUAGAGUGAUCGAAAGAUGAAAAGCACUUUGAAAAGAGGGUUAAAUAGCACGUGAAAUUGUUGAAAGGGAAGCGUUUGCGACCAGACCUUCUCUAGGCGGAUCAUCCGGUGUUCUCACCGGUGCACUUCGCCUGGUUUAGGCCAGCAUCGGUUUUCGUAGGGGGAUAAAGGCUUGGGGAACGUAUCUCUCUCGGGAGUGUUAUAGCCCCUCGCGUAAUACCCUUACGGGGACCGAGGACCGCGCUCUGCAAGGAUGCUGGCGUAAUGGUCGUCAACGACCCGUCUUGAAACACGGACCAAGGAGUCGAACAUUUGUGCGAGUGUUUGGGUAUUAAACCCUCACGCGUAAUGAAAGUGAACGGAGGUGAGAGCCCUUAGGGGUGCAUCAUCGACCGAUCCUGAUGUCUUCGGAUGGAUUUGAGUAAGAGCAUAACUGUUCGGACCCGAAAGAUGGUGAACUAUGCGUGGAUAGGGUGAAGCCAGAGGAAACUCUGGUGGAGGCUCGCAGCGGUUCUGACGUGCAAAUCGAUCGUCAAAUCUGCGCAUGGGGGCGAAAGACUUAUCGAACCAUCUAGUAGCUGGUUACCGCCGAAGUUUCCCUCAGGAUAGCAGUGUUGUUUUCAGUUUUAUGAGGUAAAGCGAAUGAUUAGGGACUCGGGGGCGCUUUAUUGCCUUCAUCCAUUCUCAAACUUUAAAUAUGUAAGAAGCCCUUGUUACUUAAUUGAACGUGGGCAUUCGAAUGUAUCAACACUAGUGGGCCAUUUUUGGUA
rnacentral:rRNA from 1 species